rnacentral:snRNA from 1 species
GGAUUUGAAGAUGAUCUGGAUGUGACAUCUAUCAUCCAAUUUAUCACCAGGGUUGAUGAAGCUGAUUAUUCUUCCUAGGCAUGUAUCCACUAACUUCCUCACUGCUCCAUAUGCACUCCUCUGGAAGCUAGUAGGUAAGUUGUUACAUUUUAAUUGUCGCUGAAACAAAAUACCUGAUGCCUAAAGUUGGGAACGGAAAGAUUUAUUUCUUACAGUUUUUGGAGGUUUCAGACCAUACUCAAUUGACUCCAAGGCAGGGUGGCAUGGCGGGGCCACAGUUCAUGGUGGUUGCAAACAGAGAGACAGAAAACCAGCAAGAGAAAGACAUGCCUUCUUUCUGCCAUUACAUUGUAUGCUGGCUCCACCCCUAGGUGGGUGUAGCACUGACACCAUCAAUCCAAACACUAGAUAAUGAACCAAUCACAAAUGCACAAUGCAAACGCAUGAGGCCUGGGGCCACUAAUAUAAGCCAAGACAUAGGUCAAAAGAGAUAAUCACCAAAGAUAGAGGAGGAUUGAUGCCUAUGACAAGGGUAUAUAAGUAACUGCAGUCCUUUGCUAGAACCUCCAAACAAACUCUCAAAAAGAUAUUCACAGCAUAAAAUCAAAGGUGAGAAAACAAUAUGG